rnacentral:hammerhead_ribozyme from 1 species
GUGCUACUGAAGAGUCCCAAACUAGGACGAAACAGUUGUCCAGUAC